CACCUAAUAGCUCAGUUUUUAGAGCACCUGACUAGAGAUUCAGAGGGGCUGGGUUUAAAUCCCAGUCUGGUCU
rnacentral:tRNA from 1 species